GACGAACGCUGGCGGCGUGCCUAAUACAUGCAAGUCGAACGCAGUGGGGACGGGUGAGUAACACGUGGGUAACCUCCCAUCAGAGGGGAUAACACUUGGAAACAGGUGCUAAACCGAUACUGAUGGAUGAACCCGGGGUGCAUUAGCCAGUCGGUGGGGUAACGGCCCACCAAGGCCACGAUGCAUAGCCGACCUGAGAGGUUGAUCGGCCACACUGGGACGGAGAAACGGCCCAGACUCCUACGGGAGGCAGCAGUAGGGAAUCUUCGGCAAUGGGCGAAAGUCUGACCGAGCAAUGCCGCGUGAGUGAAGAAGGUUUUCGGAUCGUAAAACUCUGUUGUUGGAGAAGCGGUAUCUAACCAGAAAGCCACGGCUAACUACGUGCCAGCAGCCGCGGUAAUUC
rnacentral:rRNA from 1 species